rnacentral:antisense_RNA from 1 species
GUGGGAGCGAGCCUGCUCGCGAAUGCGGUGUGUCAGUCAAUUCAAAUGGUUCUGACAGACCGCAUUCGCGAGCAGGCUCGCUCCCAC